GACGAACGCUGGCGGCGUGCCUAAUACAUGCAAGUCGAGCGGAAGUUGGAGAGCUUGCUCUUCAACUUUAGCGGCGGACGGGUGAGUAACACGUGGGCAACCUGCCCUGCAGAUCGGGAUAACCCCGGGAAACCGGUGCUAAUACCGAAUAGUUUGCGCCACCUCCUGGUGGCGUACGGAAAGACGGUUUCGGCUGUCACUGCAGGAUGGGCCCGCGGCGCAUUAGCUAGUUGGUGGGGUAACGGCCCACCAAGGCGACGAUGCGUAGCGGACCUGAGAGGGUGAUCGGCCACACUGGGACUGAGACACGGCCCAGACUCCUACGGGAGGCAGCAGUAGGGAAUCUUCCGCAAUGGACGAAAGUCUGACGGAGCAACGCCGCGUGAGUGACGAAGGUUUUCGGAUCGUAAAACUCUGUUGUGAGGGAAGAACAAGUACCAACUGACUACUGGUACCUUGACGGUACCUCACCAGAAAGCCACGGCUAACUACGUGCCAGCAGCCGCCGUAACAC
rnacentral:rRNA from 1 species